rnacentral:rRNA from 1 species
GACGGAGGAUGCAAGCGUUAUCCGGAAUGAUUGGGCGUAAAGCGUCCGCAGGUGGCAGUUCAAGUCUGCUGUCAAAGACCGGGGCUUAACUUCGGAAAGGCAGUGGAAACUGAACAGCUAGAGUAUGGUAGGGGCAGAGGGAAUUCCCGGUGUAGUGGUGAAAUGCGUAGAUAUCGGGAGGAACACCAGUGGCGAAGGCGGCUUCCUGGCCUGUUCUUGACGCUGAGGCGCGAAAGCUAGGGGAGCAAACGGG